rnacentral:rRNA from 1 species
AUCCUCUCAUCCUACAUAUUUACACCUGUGCACCCUUUGUAGGCUCUCUCGAAAGAGGGGGUCUAUGUUCCAAACGUACUCUAUGUACUACUAUACACAAUCCAAGGCCAGAAUGUCAUACAAUUUACAACUUUCAGCAACGGAUCUCUUGGCUCUCGCAUCGAUGAAGAACGCAGCGAAUCGCGAUAAGUAAUGUGAAUUGCAGAUUUCCAGUGAAUCAUCGAAUCUUUGAACGCACUUUGCGCUCCUUGGUACUCCGAGGAGCAUGCCUGUUUGAGUGUCAUGUUACUCUCAACCAUGUCUCGAUUCGUUUCGAGGCAUGGCUUGGAUUUGGGAGCUUUGCCGGCCUCGCGGUCGACUCUCCUUAAAUGCAUUAGCGAAUAGGUCGUGUCAGUGGGUCUGGCGGGCAAUCAAUAGCCUUUCGACGUGAUAACAAUCGUAUAUCGGAGUCGAGGCUCGCGCGCCGGGUGUAAGACACGUUCUCUGUUCGCUUCCAAUCCCCAAACCUGCUUAGCUAGUAGUCGGUCGAUCGAUAGAUCACCUUCGAACACAAAGGCAGGACCACCUUUUGACCACUUUGACCUCAAAUCAGGUAGGACUACCCGCUGA